AUCGGUAUGACAUAAUUUGCCGCGAGAUUCGUCUCUGUAUAUCUCUCCUCUGUGACUAAAGUUCUGUUAACUAAAUUUAACCGUUUGGUUUUGUUUGCUACGCGUGCAUGCUUGCACGUUUGUCCGUAAUGUAUGAUGGCGCACGUUGUUCGAUUGCACGCGAGUGUAUUUUCCCGCCAGAUAUUGUUUUCGACGGACGCAAUUCGAAAAUAUUUCGCUUCUUUUGUUGAGCAGCGAGUUAUUUUUAAAUUUCAUGAUGUAAAGUUUUUCGUCGCUACACAAAUUGCACUGAUUACGUCCCGAUCUGUAUGCACUCGAAUGUUUUAAGAUGGUCCAUUUAAUUUCGUAUGGGCGAUUGCUUUUCUUCAAACUCCAGAUGUACUUCGACAAUUCAGUGCAUUAGCAUACUUAUCGAUGUUGAACCAUUUCUGGUGGUUCCUAAAACGCUCCUUGAAAGUUGUAGCCUUAAUUCCAAUAUAGCCUAAUGCCUUGUCCUCUGCUGCGAUCUUUGCAUGUUAGACAAUGCCCUUGGUUAAGCGUUUCUUGUUGAGAGGACACGUAUUCUUAUCUCUGCAGUUGCAUGUUUUGUUGGCGGGUGGUGUUGGUUUUAAUGGUGGUGUUGGCGUUAACGUUGGUGAUUGGGGAGGUGGUGGUAGUGAUGGAGCUUUUGAAAGGAUCUUACUGUUAUGACUGGAUAUCACGGAUUUCACGUUUAUCAUUUGGAAAACAAUAAAUACACAUUUCUUUCUCAUAUAAUUAAUUGACAAAACGGCGUUGGCCGCCAUGUCGAAAAUUGCUUAAAAGCAGUGGUGGAUCCAGCAAAGUUUUUUUUUUUGUUUUUUUUUUGGGGGGGGGGUGCUAACCAAUGGCAAAACGAGCGCCGAAGGCGCGAGAUUUCUAGUGUGGUCCGGGGGCAUAGUCCCCGGAAAAUUUUUAAAAUUUGGGUCUCUGUCUGAAAUGGCAUUUCCAGCAUUCUGAGAAAACAUUCUGGAAAAUUUUUAGAUUCUCAAAACAUUUAAAAAUUCAGAAUAUUUAAUAUUGGCUAUUCCGCUAUUAUCAACUAGUGAUACGCAACUGAAUUCCUUAACAUAACUUGGUUAGAAUUAGGAUAAACGUCAUUUUUGCCCCCCCACCCCACCCCAUGCACCCCUGUUGACCAGACCCUGGGGGGGGGGGUGUACCCCAAAUCCACCACUGCUUAUAGGUGAUUAUCGCGUUAUAAUCACCUCAACGGCAACCAAUCAGCGUGAAUUUUCAAUGAUCACCUAUG